ACACCGACGUCGGCUCUUCCCAUCGUUGUGUCGCAGUUCUCACCAAGUGC
rnacentral:rRNA from 14 species